rnacentral:rRNA from 1 species
GACGAACGCUGGCGGCGUGCUUAACACAUGCAAGUCGAGCGGUAAGGCCCUUUCGGGGGUACACGAGCGGCGAACGGGUGAGUAACACGUGGGUGACCUGCCCCCAGCUCUGGGAUAAGCCUGGGAAACCGGGUCUAAUACUGGAUAUGACUCCAUGACGCAUGUUGUGGGGUGGAAAGCCUUGUGCGGCUGAGGAUGGGCCCGCGGCCUAUCAGCUUGUUGGUGGGGUGAUGGCCUACCAAGGCGACGACGGGUAGCCGGCCUGAGAGGGCGACCGGCCACACUGGGACUGAGACACGGCCCAGACUCCUACGGGAGGCAGCAGUGGGGAAUCUUGCGCAAUGGGCGAAAGCCUGACGCAGCGACGCCGCGUGAGGGAUGACGGCCUGGU